GACGAACGCUGGCGGCGUGCUUAACACAUGCAAGUCGAACGGAAAGGCCCUGCUUUUGUGGGGUGCUCGAGUGGCGAACGGGUGAGUAACACGUGAGUAACCUGCCCUUGACUUUGGGAUAACUUCAGGAAACUGGGGCUAAUACCGGAUAGGAGCUCCUGCUGCAUGGUGGUGGUUGGAAAGUUUCGGCGGUUGGGGAUGGACUCGCGGCUUAUCAGCUUGUUGGUGGGGUAGUGGCUUACCAAGGCUUUGACGGGUAGCCGGCCUGAGAGGGGGACCGGCCACAUGGGGACUGAGAGACGGCCCAGACGGCUACGGGAGGCAGCAGUGGGGAAUAUUGCACAAUGGGCGGAAGCCUGAUGCAGCAACGCCGCGUGCGGGAUGACGGCCUUCGGGUUGUAAACCGCUUUCGCCUGUGACGAAGCGUGAGUGACGGUAAUGGGUAAAGAAGCACCGGCUAACUACGUG
rnacentral:rRNA from 1 species